rnacentral:rRNA from 1 species
ACUCAAAUGAAUAGACGGGGGCCCGCACAAGCGGCGGAGCAUGCGGAUUAAUUCGAUGCAACGCGAAGAACCUUACCAAGGCUUGACAUGGACUGGAUCGCUGCAGAAAUGUGGUUUCCCCUUUUGGGGCUGGUUCACAGGUGGUGCAUGGUUGUCGUCAGCUCGUGUCGUGAGAUGUUGGGUUAAGUCCCGCAACGAGCGCAACCCUCGUUCUAUGUUGCCAGCGCGUUAUGGCGGGGACUCAUAGGAGACUGCCGGGGUCAACUCGGAGGAAGGUGGGGACGACGUCAAAUCAUCAUGCCCCUUAUGUCUUGGGCUUCACGCAUGCUACAAUGGCCGGUACAAAGGGUUGCGAUACUGUGAGGUGGAGCUAAUCCCAAAAAGCCGGUCUCAGUUCGGAUUGGGGUCUGCAACUCGACCCCAUGAAGUCGGAGUCGCUAGUAAUCGCAGAUCAGCAACGCUGCGGUGAAUACGUUCCCGGGCCUUGCACACACCGCCCGU